rnacentral:tRNA from 1 species
UGAGAGGUCAUCUAAUUUGGCUAAGAGACGUGCCUUGGAAGCACGGGGAUGCCGGUUCGAAUCCGGCCCUUUCAACCA